CCUACGGGUGGCAGCAGUGAGGAAUAUUGGUCAAUGGACGGAAGUCUGAACCAGCCAUGCCGCGUGCAGUAAUACGGCUCUAUGAUUUUUACACUGCUUUUGUACAAGUGUAAACCUGAAUACGUGUAUUCAGCUGAAAGUACUGUACGAAUAAGGAUCGGCUAACUCCGUGCCAGCAGCCGCGGUAAUAGGGAGGAUCCAAGCGUUAUCCGGAUUUAUUGUGUUUAAAGGGUGCGUAGGCGGGUUAUCAAGUCAGCGGUAAAAUCGUGGAGCUAAACUCCAUCCAGCCGUUGAAACUGAUGAUCUAGAGUGGGAGAGAAGUAGGCGGAAUUUGUGGUGUAGCGGUGAAAUGCUUAGAGAUCACGAAGAAUUCCGAUUGCGAAGGCAGCUUACUAAACUGCCACUGACAUUGAUGCUCGAAAGUGUGGGUAUCAAACAGGAUUAGAUACCCCAGUAGUC
rnacentral:rRNA from 1 species